GAGAAAAGUUGCAACUAGUUAGGGAGCUCUCACACCCUUUCACCAGCUUCCCCAGCGUCAUCGAACUGAGCAAAUAAUCUUGGUCCAGUGCUCUACACGACAGACUUCCUUCCAAUUUCAUCAAUUUUUUUUUCUAGUUGUUGUUGUUUUUGUUUUUUUUCCGGGACCCCAUCCAGAAUUCCAGGUGCCUUGAGUUGUCUGGUGACCUCAGUCUCCUCUCUGUGACAGUUCUGAAGUCCGUCCUUGUUUUCAUGAUGCUUUUGGGAAUACCAACCAGCUGUUUUCAUAAACUCUCCUCCUGGGGUCUGUGUGCUGUUUUCGCAUGAUGAGGUCAGGGAGCUGCACUUUUGGGGAACACAUAGCAGAGGUGGUGUACCUUUCCCAGAGCAACAGGGAAGGGGUGACAUGUGCUGUCUUAUUUCCUUGUUGCUGUUAAGCAUGAUUAUGAGGGUCAGACGGUUUCUGCCAGGGGUGUCCACUGUAACGUUACACUUUCCCCCUUCCUAGUCCCUGAAUGUUUGGGGGGUGAUACUUCAAGGUUUCUGCAAAUAUGCUGUUUCUGCUAACCGUUCUGCCCACCAGAUUUAGGAUCCAUCAAAGAAUCUUGCCUGCGGCAAUUACUGCUGUCAUAAUCUAAUAGCGAUUUUUGAUCUCCCUCUUUCUUUUUACAUUUAUCCACUGGAAUGCUGCUUAAGGAGGAAUUACAUGAUGUUGCAGGUGAUAAAGCAGAAAUAAGGAAUCCAUACUCUUUUGAAGCCUACAUUUAAACUGGAGAGAUGGACAAGCAAAAUAAAUGGAGUGGGGCCCUGGCUGCUGGAAGAUGCACAAGAUCCACUGGCCCGAAGGGUCCUCCUGCCAGGAACUGGAAGAGAGUAAAGGUACAACCUCGGGUCAUUCAUGGUCGUCAGGAGAGGAUCAGAGCAGAUGUUUAUCAUUUGGGAGGCUAUUGGGUAAAAUACACUCUAGGAAAAUCUUCGUCCUCUUAAUUCUAAGGGACUGGAUCCCAGGGCCUCAGAUCAAAGGCAGACGUUUAAUCGACUGAGCCACCCAGGUGCCCUGCCAUUUACAUUUCUUUAAGGGAAAUUGAAGAAUGCCGC
rnacentral:lncRNA from 1 species